UACGAAGGGGGCUAGCGUUGCUCGGAAUCACUGGGCGUAAAGCGCACGUAGGCGGAUCUUUAAGUCAGGGGUGAAAUCCUGGAGCUCAACUCCAGAACUGCCUUUGAUACUGGGGAUCUCGAGUCCGGAAGAGGCGAGUGGAAUUCCUGGUGUAGCGGUGGAAUGCGCAGAUAUCAGGAGGAACACCAAUAGCGAAGGCAGCUCGCUGGGACGUUACUGACACUAAGGCGCGAAAGCGUGGGGAGCGAACAGG
rnacentral:rRNA from 1 species